rnacentral:rRNA from 1 species
UGUGACAUGAAGUCAGGCGGACAAACCCGCUGAAUUAAAGCAUAUGAGUAAGCGGAGGAUAAGAAGCUAAACAGGACUCCCCCAGUAAUGGCGAAUGAACAGGGUCACGCUCAGCAUCAAAAUCGGGGCCCGCGGGCCUGAGUUGUAGUCUCUGGAGGUGCUACCAAGAGAGGCGCUGCUGUACGUCUUUUGGAAACGAGCAUCGACGAGGGUGAGGGUCCCGUUUGUCAGCAGCAGCCAACUGUGCACGGUGCACAUUCUAAGAGUCACGUUCCUUGGGAUUGGAGCGCAAUGUGGGUGGUAAGCUUCAUCUCAAGCUACACAUGGGCUCGAGACCGAUAGCAAACAAGUACUAUGAGGGAAAGGUGAAAAGCACUUUGAAAAGAAAGGUAAAGUACCUGAAUUCGCUGAAGAGGAAGUGAGCGAAGCCAGUAUGUCUUGGCGAGAUUGCUGCACACGCGUGCCAGUGCUUGCUGCGCCAGCACUUGUGUGGCAUUAAGCCCCGAGCAAGUCCUGCGCAGUGCUUCUUGCCUUGCCCACCAACGGCUCUCCAUGCUUGAGGACGCUUUCAAGGACACGGUAGCUCCACCCCAUGAAGCGAAUAUUUUUGUUUGCACUCAUGUGAGGGGUGCACGGAGAGUAAAUGGCUCCUCUCGACCCGUCUUGAAACACGGACCAAGGAGUCUAACCUGUGUGCAAGCUUGUGGCCGGGUAAGACCUUUGUGCACAAUCAAAGUGACUGCUGGGAAUUGUUGCACCAGCAACCGACCUGUCAAUUGAGAGAGGUUUGAGUGUGAGCAUAUUUGUUAGGACCCGAAAGAUGGUGAACUAUGCCUGUGAAGGGCAAACUCAGGGGAAACUCUGAUGGAGGCUCAUAGCGAUACUGACGUGCAAAUCGUUCGUCAUACAUGGGUAUAGGGGCGAAAGACUAAUCGAACCAUCUAGUAGCUGGUUCCCUCCGAAGUUUCCCUCAGGAUAGCUGGAGUUGAACAUUUUUAUCAGGUAAAGCCAAUGACUAGAGGAAUUGGGGGCGCCCUGUCUUUGACCUAUUCUCAAACUUUAAAUGGGUAAGAWCCAGUGGUUACGUUGAUGAACUUCGGGGAUAAAUGGCAACUUGAAGUGGGCCAUUUUUGGUAAGCAGAACUGGCGAUGAGGGAUGAACCUAACGUUGGGUUAAAGUGCUUAACUGCUCGCUCAUCAGAUACCAUAAAGGGUGUUGGCUCAUUUUAACAGCAGGACGGUGGUCAUGGAAGUCGAAAUCCGCU